CCUACGGGUGGCAGCAGUGGGGAAUAUUGCACAAUGGGGGAAACCCUGAUGCAGCGACGCCGCGUGAGUGAAGAAGUAUUUCGGUAUGUAAAGCUCUAUCAGCAGGGAAGAAAAUGACGGUACCUGAUUAAGAAGCCCCGGCUAACUACGUGCCAGCAGCCGCGGUAAUACGUAGGGGGCAAGCGUUAUCCGGAUUUACUGGGUGUAAAGGGAGCGUAGGCGGCAGUACAAGUCAGGAGUGAAAUGCCGGGGCUUAACUCCGGGACUGCUUUUGAAACUGUGCAGCUAGAGUGCAGGAGAGGUAAGUGGAAUUCCUAGUGUAGCGGUGAAAUGCUUAGAUAUUAGGAAGAACUCCAGUUGCGAAGGCAGCAUACGGGAGUGUAACUGACGUUGAGGCUCGAAAGCGUGGGGAGCGAACAGGAUUAGAUACCCCUGUAGUC
rnacentral:rRNA from 1 species